GCGCGCGUAGCUCAGCGGUAGAGCAGUCGUCUUAUAAGCGACUGGUCCCUGGUUCAAAUCCAGGCGCGCGCA
rnacentral:tRNA from 1 species